rnacentral:rRNA from 1 species
UAGGGAAUAUUGCAAAAUGGGCGAAAGCCCGAUGCAGCAACGCCGCGUGGGCGAUGAAGGCCUUCGGGUCGUAAAGCCCUUUUUGAGGGGAUGAGGAAGGACAGUACCCUCAGAAUAAGCCUCGGCUAACUACGUGCCAGCAGCCGCGGUAAAACGUAGGAGGCGAGCGUUAUCCGGAUUUACUGGGCGUAAAGCGCGUGCAGGCGGAUUGGAGAGUUGGAUGUGAAAGCUCCCGGCUUAACUGGGAGAGGUCGUUCAAUACUUCCAGUCUUGAGUGCAGUAGAGGGAAGUGGAAUUCCGGGUGUAGUGGUGAAAUGCGUAGAUAUCCGGAGGAACACCAGUCGCGAAAGCGGCUUCCUGAACUGUAACUGACGCUCAG